GCAUUGUGGAGAAUAGAUUGUGGAGAAUGGAGAAGGUGAUGGCAAAGUCAGGGGGCUUUGUGGCCAGACAUGUUGGGAGGCAGAAUGGGUGCUGUCUGGCUGGUGACGGAGAGGGAAGGAUUCCUGGGUUUCUGUUGGGCUUUCAUGUCUGACUUCAUUUGAAUAAAGUGUCACUGCUAAAAAUGGCCCAAAAGCCAUCUUGCUGACUAUCCUGGGUCCCUCUCAGUCUGAUUUUAUAUAAAUGUGCCUUGGAGGUCAGCACCCCUGCCUCAGGCUCAAAACCUCAGGACUCUAGCUAACCUCACCCCCUCAUCUCACCCCAGAUUGACGAGAUGCCUGAGGCUGCCGUGAAAUCAACAGCCAACAAAUACCAAGUCUUUUUUUUCGGGACCCACGAGACGUGAGUGGAGGCCAAAGGGGUAUAGGUCGGGAGGGCCCCGGGAGGACUACUCUGGGGAAGGUGAGGUGGUGUUGGUGCCCCUUUCAUGCCGGGCUGUGCAGCUCAGGGGCAGUGAGGGGCUUGAGAGCACAGUCUCCCAUCUCUCACCAGGGCAUUCCUGGGCCCCAAAGACCUCUUCCCUUACGAGGAAUCCAAGGAGAAGUUUGGCAAGCCCAACAAGAGGAAAGGGUUCAGCGAGGGGCUGUGGGAGAUCGAGAACAACCCUACUGUCAAGGCUUCCGGCUAUCAGUCCUCCCAGAAAAAGAGCUGUGUGGAAGAGCCUGAACCAGAGCCCGAAGCUGCAGAGGGUGACGGUGAUAAGAAGGGGAAUGCAGAGGGCAGCAGCGACGAGGAAGGGAAGCUGGUCAUUGAUGAGCCAGCCAAGGAG
rnacentral:lncRNA from 10 species